CUCUAUAGCCAUGCCACCCUGAAUGUGCCCGAUCCCGUCUGAUUCGGAAGCUAAGCAGGGUCAGGCCUGGUUAGUACUUGGAUGGGAGACCGCCUACCUAGGAAUACCAGGUGCUGUAGGCG
rnacentral:rRNA from 1 species